GGAAUAGUGGCUGAGUGGCUUAAAGCGAUAGCUUGCUAAGCUGUUUACCUUAUUUCAAAGGUACGUAGGUUCAAAUCCUUCCUAUUCC
rnacentral:tRNA from 1 species